rnacentral:lncRNA from 1 species
GCCUCCCAAAGUGCUGGGAUUACAGGCGUGAGCCACCGCGCCCGGCCUGGACUAGUUUCUUAACCUCUCUGAGCCCAUUUCCUCAUCUGUAAAAUGGGGUCAUGUAUUGGCAGUCCCUCCCCUAAAUGGUUCCUAGAAGAGGGCUUAGCACACAGUGAGAGCUAUUUAAGGGUAAGCUGUGAUGAGUCUUGCUGGCUUCAAGAGGUGGGGUCUCCCCAACAUCUGGCACCCAGUAGGUACUCACCAGCACUGUCAAGGGAAUGAUUUUAAUCAGAGUAGGGGGCUGGGCACAGUGGCUCACAUCUGUAAUCCCAACACUUUGGGAUGCUGAAGCAGGCAGAUCACUUGAGGUCAGGAGUUCGAAUACCAGGCUGGCCAACAUUGUGAAACCCCAUCUCUACUAAAAAUACAAAAAAUAGCCAGG